CCUACGGGGGGCUGCAGUGGGGAAUAUUGCACAAUGGGGGAGACCCUGAUGCAGCAACGCCGCGUGAGCGAUGAAGGCCUUCGGGUCGUAAAGCUCUGUCCUAAGGGAAGAAUACUGACGGUACCUUAGGAGGAAGCCCCGGCUAACUACGUGCCAGCAGCCGCGGUAAUACGUAGGGGGCUAGCGUUAUCCGGAAUUACUGGGCGUAAAGGGUGCGUAGGCGGCCCUUCAAGUCAGAGGUGAAAGGCUACGGCUCAACCGUAGUAGGCCUUUGAAACUGUAGGGCUGGAGUGCAGGAGAGGAGAGUGGAAUCCCCAGGGUGGGGGGGAAAUGCGGAGAUAUUGGGGGGAACACCAGGGGCGAAGGCGGCUCUCGGGACUGUAACGGACGCUGAGGCACGAAAGCGGGGGGAGCAAACAGGAUUAGAUACCCGUGUAGUC
rnacentral:rRNA from 1 species